rnacentral:rRNA from 1 species
GACGAACCGUGCAAACGUUAUUCGGAAUCACUGGGCUUAAAGCGCGUGUAGGCGGGACGGCACGUCGGUCGCUGAAAGCCCCGGGCUCAACCUGGGAACUGCAUUUGAGACUGAAGAACUCGAGUUCGGGAGAGGAUGGCGGAAUUCCCAGUGUAGAGGUGAAAUUCGUAGAUAUUGGGAAGAACACCGGUGGCGAAGGCGGCCAUCUGGACCGAGACUGACGCUGAGGCGCGAAAGCGUGGGGAGCAAACAGG